ACGGACAUUAGUAACAGGUUGGUGCCGGUAUGGGGUUUAGUACAUAGACAGUGAACUAUUAUGGAUUAGAUUUGUGGACAGCUGGCACUAGACAUGACAGUCACCUAAUGGACAUUUUUGCCCCCCUUAAGCAUGGACUUGCAUGAGCAUGGUGUAUAAAUGAAAGAUGUGUUAGGUUUUAUGGAAUCCUCUAAUCUUUUUUUAUUUUCCUGGUCAUUUUCUGUUUCAAGUGCAGAAAGAAGAAAAUAAGGAGAUGAAAAUGGAGAGAAUAUAUACCUAUACAGAGAGCAGAUUUUGCUUUAUCAUGCAAAUGUGUUAGCUUAUAUAGCCUUUUGACAUUAAAUAUGCUUAUGUACCACAUCUUUACUUUUAUCUGUUGGCAGUUUAAUGUUAUCUUAUUCCUGCAAGAUGUGUUGCUGUGUUAGUCUUUGUGAUAUUAACAUGAAAUACUUUUUCUGCUUUCAGGGGUAUCUUGGCUGCGAUUGAUACUAUCUCAGAUCACUUGUUGGUGGGGAUUUUUUACUUGGUCGGGUUUGGCUUAUUUUGCUUGGAAACACUUAUAAGCCUGUGGGUACUUCAGGUUAGUGCCAAAACCUCCAUUAGUUUUGCUAUUAUAAAAUCUUGGAGUGUUCUAUUAUAACUGCUUGUUGACGUUAAGCCUCAAAUUUUAUGUGCAAGUUGGGACACAAAAUGCCUUCCAUUUGAGCUCCAAUCUGAACUCAGUUUGUGUAUCACAUGCAUGAAGGGAGAACAAAAGAGUCGAGGAAGGGACAAACCUAAUAUGCACAUAGGGAAACUAAGUUUCUCUCUCUCUAACUGCCUACCAUAACCUUUGAAGAAAGAAAGGGAGUGCGAAAUGUCCAUGCAGGUCAUAAAUUUUCAGCAAAGCAGUAUCAGAACAUGAUGGAUGACAUUUGGAAGAAGGAAUUUCCUAGUCGAAUGCUGUUUGGCAAGGAAGCACAAGGCUUGUUUUGUGAGGGAAUAUGUAUUUUAGGAGGGAUGACCACUAAUUCUACUUGCACAGAGGGAAACCAACUAAGAUGUCUGCCUGAUCAGUCUUAUUCUCUCCAUGUCUCUCUUUUAAUAAUAGUGUGAUGAGCUUCUUCUACUUGAAAGUUUAAUGAUAGAUGGGUUUAGAGAAGAGGCUGAUUUGUUUGAAAUAAAAAGAAGAAAUCAAUAAGACAGGUCUCUGCUUUUCUAUAUCAUGUUCUAAGUAUGGCAAGAGCACGGUGCAAAAUGGUAAAAUUAUAUUGUUUUAUUGUGUUAAGAGUGUUCCAUAUGCUUGUCAUACAGUUCAGUUGCCAUCAAACAUGUAGAAUUAAAAAUGGGCCAAACCUAGCCAAGCCCAUGUGUUUGGAUCCAUCUCCAAGUUGGACCACAAAACUUGGUUUGGUUAGCAUAGGGUCCAUUGGAAAGGUUUGAUGUUCGCUUGCAGGUUUCUGUGCACUAAGCCUGGCCUUGUCCUUGCCAGCAUUGGCCUAAUCCCAAGCCCAGCUGUCACUGAGGAUUCAUGUGAAAUGGAAGCAACCAUCUGUCUGGCCAUCUCCUAGCAGGGGGUUAGAGAAGGUACAAAUAUUGGUGGUGAUGAAGUAGCACUAGAUGAAUCCAGUGGCUUAGUGGAGGACAUGGAGGGUCAAGAAGGGAGAGAAUUAGAGAAUGGAGAAGACCUUUUACCUUGAGAACACCAAUGAAUAAGUUACAAGUGUGUCCUUGGUUUUGUAGUAGAUCAAGGUUGUAGAUCAAAGGUGAAGAGAGGGGGUGGGGCAGUUGAUGAGAAACAAUAAGAGAUGGUUGGCCGUGGAUAAUUAAGGAGAAGGCAAUGGAUGGUUCAACUAUUGAGAAAGGAUAAGAGAAGGUUAGUAGUAGAUGAAAAAGGAGAAUGGGAG